CCCAGGGUGGAAUUUCUGCAUGGAAAUCAGGCCAUCAGCCACGGGCGUUUGUUUGCUGGUGGCCGUGGUGUGUGCAGCCAGAAACUCCGGCUGGCGUCUUGUGCACUGAAAGAAAGGCUGAAGGGGAGAUGGCCAAACCAGACCGCACACCCGUGUGGGACGUUUGCCUCCUGGAUCUGGCCUCUGGUAUUUCUCGCACAAAGAAGCACUGGAGCUGAGCAUCCAAAUCCCAUCCGUUGUCUUUGCAUUGUCUCCGUGAGCAGCAGUGGGGAUGACAGGCAAGCAGCAAGGUGAAAAAAAGAUUCGGUGAGCCUUGCGGCACGUGGCUCAGCCUGACCCUUGCUCUGGAGCAGCUGAGGACGUCCGGGAGAGAUUAACAGAAAAUUCAAAACAUCUGGAAACUAAGGGCUUUUUUGUGUGCAGCAUUUCCAGUCCAAAUCCCAGCAAGCCCGGAGAACCUGUGCUUUCCCGGCGGUGGGUGCGGCGGAGAGACCUGGUUAACACGAUGGAGGAGCCCGACUCGGCUGUCGGCUGCACCUCGGAGACGCUUGCGUUUCUUCAUCGCUUUUUCAUGAGAGACAGCCAGAUGUAGAGUGUCAGCUUUCUCAGAAGAAACAUGGUUGAUCUGUUGCCCGCACGCGUUGGAUGUUAAUACAUAGAUGAUCGAUUGUGAAAAUAUUUAAGGUUCCAGUGAGAGCCCUUAGUCAUCCAUGCAGCGAGGUAAGAAGGGACCUUUGGCUCCGAGGCACGGUUUAUCCAGCUCGCUGGAUGCCUGUGUCCUUGUGGUGAGGAGGAGGGAAGAGCUGCUGUGCGGAGAGAGGCCGCUCCUCUCCCUUCGUGUGAAUCUCUCUGGUUUGGGUGCCAGCAGCUGGACACGCGCAGACCCUUCACCUCAUCACCCCCAUCUCUGCCAGGCACGUGGGGAUUGGCAAAAGAAACCGCCUUUUCAUUCGGAGUGGGGGAAUCCUGCUGAGAAAUGAAAUGUGGAGAGUGGAGUAAGAGUUACCUGGUGAGGGCUGAAAGGAUCUUCUCUUUCACCAGGAUGGGACUCCUCUGCCUGAAUGGAGAUGCCACCGGGUGAACAAAUGGGCUCCAGCUCCCUGCGCCCGAGACCAGCCCUCCAUGUGGUUCCUCACCUCCUAAGGUUCCUGCCUAAAGCAUCGGAGAAAUGUUGCUGAAACAGGAGCUCUCAGAGCCCAGACGAUGGUGUAGGAAGAUGUUGAUUCUUUGCAAAGUCACCAGCUGCAGCACGGUGCGUUUCUGCUGCAGAAGCUACUUCUGCUGGCGACCGAGCGAGGGCAAGGAGAGCGGAUGAAGCUGCUGCCGCCUGCCCAGAGCGUGGCCCCCAGAGAACUCCGUUGGCUCAAGGAGCAGAUAUUUGCUCACACCAACAUAACCCCUCUCCACUGCCAAUAUUUCCUUCGGUCAUGCUGGGACUGCUGAGGAUAGCCCGGGCCGUCUGAGGGCAGCCUGGGCUCCAGCCAUCGCUCCCGAGUGAAGAUGCACUCGAUGGACAGUUUUGUUCUUUGUGUGACUGAGCCUGGAAGGUCGGCGCUGGUGACCCGAUCCAGAAAGCAAUGAAACGCGAUACAGGG